rnacentral:ncRNA from 1 species
AUACGAUAAUAGCAAGAUAGUCGCAAGGCUAUUACGCAAAGCUAAAGGGACUCUCGUAGUCAGCCAGUUGCCGAA